GGAUGACCUGGGGCCAGUUUGGGUUUCCAUUUUAGGAAUGUUUUGGGUCUGUUGAAGUGUCCAUGGCAAAAGUCUGGUUUGGAAAGAAUGGGUUGUAAAGUCAUCUGGGGGUGGGUGCUUCUAUGAGAGAAACAAAAAGACAUGAGGACUGGAAUGAGAUUAUGCAAAAUAAUGUCACAGCAUCUAGAACAGAUCAAUGAAUAUCAUGAAGUUGAUGGAAACUAUUAAUCUCACUAGGAGGUACAAGAGCUGAGAAGUUGUUCCCAUAACAAAGCCGGUGAGGAUAAGGCCUUUAUUUGGGAAUGUAAAUCUUUAACAUUGCCAGGAUUAUCACAAUAAUUAGUUUUAUAAUGUCACAGAUUCCCCCAUAAGAUGUAGUUAUCUAAUGUCAUCUGAUUUUUACAAAAUACCUUUCUAUUAGCAUAACCUCUGUGCUUAGUAGAGAUCUCUCUAUUUCUGUUACUUAGAACUUUCUUAGUAAAGUUUGUUAGGACUAUUAUGUGCCAUGUUACAUUUUUUAGACCAAUAUGAGGUAUACAUUUGGGGCUAGAUAAUCAUACUAGCAGACACAGAAACAGAGAUCAAGCUUGCCUAUAUAGGAGGUUAGGAAGAUUUGUAGAUCUCAAAUUGACUCAGAAAAAAGGCUUAUGACUCUGACAGUCUCUUUGUGUGUGUGUAUGUGUUGGGUUGUGUGC
rnacentral:lncRNA from 1 species